CGCAGCAGCGUAGCCAGCACACAUUCUUUUGUGAGACCUGCCUUUGAAUCAGCACUCAGUGUUUUGGGGGAGCGUAUAUGACGAUAGUUACCAGGAAGCCGUGAUGUAGUCUUUUAACUUGUGUCCCUGCUGCAGACAACUUCUGCUCUAUCUCACUGGACCCGUCUCAGGAGCCUUGUGAAUUGUGUCUCAAAAAUGCCUGCCUGGAAGACAAAAGAGGGAAGAGUAUAUUCAUUGGCUUCUGUUAUCUAUUAGUCAAGGGUGGUCCCACGGUAUUAAUCACCCUCUUACUUCUGGGUUGUAAUGUGUUAAUGCCAAGCAGGUUCCCCUAGGUGUACCGCAUAAGAGAAGACCUGGGACAGGAUGCAAGAGGUGUGUGAUGAGGGCGCAGGUAAGACACUAUCGGAUUACACCCAUGGACGCUGGACCAAGACGACAGGGAACUCAAUGGCACAGCAGCGGCUGCAGUGGGAGACGAGGCUGAGAGGAAGUGAAGUGGUGCGUGACAGCGAGCCUGAAAUUUAUGUUUGGACUGAAAAUACUUGCUCAAGUCUGACCUCCAUUGCUCUUCAUGAGAACACACUGACCACCUGGGCGAGCCUACGGCCAGUGCCGCUGUCUGGCAAAAUCUCGGUGAGAUCAGAUCUGUGUCACUGCCCAGCCCUGCUUUUGACAUCUGCCUGUGCUUAUGAGCUCCCUGCUCCCUCUUUCCCCGUGAUCCUCUCCGACUGUGGAUAAAAUCCUCAGUCCUUUCCACUUUGACUCUUCCUUUUUGCCAGUAAGUUUCAAACCUACAACUCAAAUCCUGACCUUUCUCCUGAAACCAGAUACCUGUUUUUAAUUUCUAUUUCCAGGUUCAAUGAUCAGCUCACACUCAACAAGUCCGAAACAGAACUCAUCAGUCUCCUGGUACUGUUGAUGGCACUACCAUUGUGCCAGUCAUCUGCCCUUGACAAUCUCCACAUUAUUUGGGCUGCCCUUCUUUCCCUCAUCCUCCAUGUACACUGAGUCAUGGAGCAAAAUCCCUUUCCUUCAUAAUGUCUGCGUGUGCCAGAAGCUGCGUGAGCUUCUGAAGGUACAACAAAAAUCAAGAUGUGAUCCCUGACUUGAAGAGCUUGGAUCCUACCAGAGGAACAAUCCAAGGCAGAAAGUGCUGAGUGCCACAUCAGCGGCAGCAGAGAAAGGACUAAGGGAGCCUGGUAGAGACAGCUUCAUGUCUGCUAUUGGGGAUCAGGGAAGAGUCGUGGUAGAACAGCCACAGUGCAUCAUGAGAAAAGAGACCCAGGAGAGCAACUGACUGAAGUGCUCUUGGAAUGACGACUUCAGUUUGCUGGUGCAUUGGGUCAAAGCACCGGGGAAACAUGGUUGAGGUCGGCACUGUGGAUGAGGCAUACAAAAGCCAGUUACAGCUCCAUUCUGUCUUGCUUUCCCAUAUAAUGGAGCUAGAAAACUGAAAUACCUGGUUCCCCAGCUCCUCUUGCAACUAUGCAUGACCAAUUUCUGGCCAGAGAGAGUAAAGAGAGGGCAACCCAGUGAAAGUCAUGGGAAAGUGUUUGAAAAGUGAAUAGGCUGUGCUGGCAUGCCCACCUUGGGCUUCCUCCCUCUCCCUUCUUCUUCCUAGUUAGGAACACACAUGCUUACUUGUGGGUAAAGCAGCCAUCUUGGCAACAUGAGACCUCCCCAAAAUAAGGAUAUGUUUGUAGGAUGACAGAGGAGAAAGAGAGAAAGAUCUUGCUUUCUCAGAUGACAUCAUCUGGCUGCUGUGAAGCCCUAGACUGUUUUCCCCACAUGCCUUAUGCAUGAAAAAAAAAAUCCCUAUUUAAGUAAAAAUCACUGUUAGUCAGAUUUUCUAUAACUUGCAGCUGAAUAAGAUGCUAACCUAUAAAGCCAUAUGUUAGAAAUACUGAGUACUAUUCUAGAUAAAUUGAAGUUUAUUCUAUAAGCAAGGAAGUUGCAGACAGCUCUUCACAUAGAGGUUAGGGGGAUGCUAUUAUCAGAAAAUUCUCUCCUUUUGCUGUUCACUGUCCAUGCCCUUCACGCUCAGUUUAGUGUCCACCUAUUCAUGGCAGCUUCUGUCUCUUGUCUUGGUCACCUUUAUCCUCACUCUCUGCUGGGCUAUUAUCAAGUAUAGCUUACUGACAUGUAUUGUUACUGAUUCUUCAUGAGUUUAUGUUAUGUAUUCCCAAUAGGACUGUAAUAGUGGUCAUGUUUUAUACUUCCUCUCUCUCUGUCUCUCUCGGUGCCCGGGCUGGAGAGAAGAACACAGUGGUUCCAUGCUCAGAUGGGAGGUCGUCUAGCUUCCUAAGCCGGCACAAAGCAAUAAUAUUCCCGGGAAGAGAGACACUUGUUCUGAGGGCUCAAGUCAUCCUCUGGAGUCAUUGGCCAUUUCCUGCAGGCUGGGGAGGUGGUGACAGCCACGCAAAUGGUGGAGAUCAUCUUGAGUUUACCACUGGUCCAAGUCCAUGGAGUUGGGUUACUUGGAUAUGGGCACCCCCAUAUGUCUAACGCCUUCCAAGAUAUUAAGUGUCAUGUAAACGCAGCACUUCCCCUUCUGCCCAUGAGUGUCUGUUGUCACCUGUCAGAAGGCAAUGCCAUAGGCUGUUUAUUUGAUGUGGAGACAAGAUACCACAUCUUCCUGGAGCCUUUCAACUUCUUAUGUCGUGAUCCUGGACAGCAGCGGUGCUGCAAUAUCUGGAACUACCAAAGAACAUUAAUGGAAGAAUGAGGGAUUGUUGGGGACAUGACCUCAUAGGAUGGGUCUUGCACAUUUGGGUACAGCAGAGAUGUUUAAAGAUUUGGGAUCUAGAGGUACAAAUUGUCUUUCCAUGGUCAGAGAAAGGUCCUGGAGCUGGAUAGAACCUGACGGUCUGGUCUUCCCUACCAAAUUCUGCUGUGUGUAUGGGAAUGGCUACCCUUUAUGCUAGAGCCUGCCCCAAGGCUGGGUCAGCUCUACUUUAAAAACCAACUUGAAAUGGUGGAUGCUUGACAGACACUAUUAUCCCCACUCCAACGAUGAGAACACUGAGGUCAAGGAUUUGGCUCAAGGUCAUCCCGCAAGGUCUUGUUGGAGGCAGAAAUAGCAUCUGAGCCUUCACUCCUAAUCCAGCUCUCAUUGCUUGUUGCGGUGUGCCAUGGCUGAAGUUACACGAUGAGGCAUCUAUCUAAACCAGAGAGCCAAGUUCUGGGUUCAUGUUACGUCUUUCUAUUCCUUCACUUGGCCUCCCACUGCUGGCUCAGAGCAGUUCCUUGCUCUGAUCUAUUGGUUUUUUCUUAGGCUGGAGAGAGUUACCACACUUCCUGAUCCUGACCUCCAGUGGAGGAGGGUGGAACCUAACGACAUCAUUUGGAUCAUACUUGACUCCAGCGAUUGCUCCAAACUUGAAGAGCAGCGAGUGGAGUCUUCGUCUUUUAACCCUAUCAAGUGACCUGGUCUUUAAUGCGUGAUUGGCAAUAAUGGAGGAGAUUCAGACAACCAUCCCCUGUCACAGCUUCCUGCUGGAGAGGCAGCAAGAAGCUAGGACUUAAACUCUGAGGGCAGAGUAUCCUGGAUUCACACCCCGACUCUGUUGUUUCCUGGUUGUGUGGCCUUCGGCAAGUCCCUGAACAUCGCGGUAGCUCAAUUUCCUGGUUUGUAAGAUGGGUGAAAAGAAUUCCUUAGGAUGAGGUAAUCUGGGCAAAGUUCCUGUCAUGUAAGAGAUAUUCAGGAAAUAUUGGUUUCUUCACUCCUCCCCACCCCACACACGUGUUGAAUACAGUAACUUUAUUUUCACCACCACCUUACAAGAAACAAUGGCACGCCUAGGUAAGCUGAGUGACUCAAGAGCUAGCAAAAACUAAGUCUUUGGAGUUAGCUACGUUGCAUGCCAAGUGUAAAUUUCCCAUUAAUGGGCUUUAAGUAUAUUAAUGGGAGAAUUUUUGUGCUCCUUGGAUGGAAAAAAAAUACAACAUUUUGUGCCUCUGGUAUCUGAGAGGAAGCCCUGAGACAGAUGGGUUCCCAUAAGUUGUGCAUCGUGAAUGCAAGGAAACUUCAUUCUUCUUACACUACCAGGCAGUCGAUCCAAAAUGGGGAAAAACUCUUUACAUGAAAGCAUGCAAUUACAUGCCAUACCCUGCAAUUCUAAUUACUGAUGACUUAAAUUGAAGCACAGCCUUUUACAUAGGAGUUUUAUGAUCAAGAAUUAAGAAAUUUAAAAAUAUUAUGGGGCCGGUUGAUGGCGCAGCAGUUAAGUUUGCACAUUCCACUUUGAUGGCCCCAGGGUUCACCAGUUCAGAUCCCGGGUGGGGACACGGCACUGCUUGGCAAGCCAUGCUGUGGCAGGCGUCCCACAUAUAAAGUAGAGGAAGAUGGACAUGGAUGUUUGCUCAGGGCCAGUCUUCCUCAGCAAAAAGAGGAGGAUUGGCAGCAGGGCUCAUCUUCCUCAAAAAAAAAAAAAUAAAUAAAUAAAAAAUAAGCCCCUAGAUAGACUCUUACCUUUAAAUGUAAUCAGUUUGGAAUGAUGACUUCAAUACUUUGUUUUUGGUGAGGAAGAUUGUCCCUGAGCUAACAUCUUUGCCAGUCUUCCUCUAUUUUGUAUAUGGGAUGCUGCCACAGCAUGGCUCGACGAGUGGUGCUAGGUCCAUGCCCGGGAUCCAGAACCAUGAACCCCGGGCCAGUAGGGCGGAGAGUACAAACUUAACCACUACAUCAUCAGGCUGGACCCCUAGAUACUUUCUUAAAAUUUUGCAUCAGUACAUUCUACUACAAUUCUCCUCUUUUGUUUUUCCUCCCCAAGCAAAAAGCAGGUCUGCCCUACUCACUUUACGGUCUUCUAUAAAUUUAAUUAAAAUCUCCCUGUUUGUAACACACUUAGACUGGCAGUGGGCAAGAGGGACAGGUACAAAGCUUUGUGACAUAAUCUUGUCCUCACAGAGCUUACACUCUGGUCAGUUCUUAGAUGGGUAAUUGCCCAAAUUAACCAGGCCAGAGCAACUGAGGAAAAGUAGGGUGUUCCCUCUCUGUCUCUCUCUUUCUGAAUGAAGAAGCCAAUUAAUGUUCACCCUAAAAUUGAAUCCUGGAUUGUUGUAAAUAACUAGACUUUUCUCCCCAAAUCAGAAAAGAAAUAAAAGUGUCAAUCAUCAUUAUUUUUGAAGUUGUAUAUUAGGUAAAAGUUGCUUAAACUCUAAAUAAUCAUUAAACAUAUAUUUCAAGGAGAAAACAUAAUAGAUUUUCAUUUUUAUAUCUACUGGAAAAGCAGGGCUGCCUUUUUGGGCUAUGACAUUCCAAAUUCUCAUUUAUAUACGGGUAGGCACAAUGCCCUUCUGGUUCUGGAUGUGGAAGGUGACAUUGGAGCCAUCAAGUAUGUUGAUGGAUAUAUUAAACAUCAUCUGGCUAUAUACAAGUAACAGAUAUUCCUUCCAGCCAUACUACUCAUAUAUUAACAAAAUAUUUCCUAAGAGAGAGGAAGAAGAUGUUCCCAAUGUGCUGUCAAUUUGAUAUGAACUUCAAGUUGUAUUUCUUUUAUUUGUUUACUUAUUCACUCAUUUAGUCAUUCACCCAAGAUGUGUGUAAUGCCCAAUGUGCCAAGCCCUAUACCACAUGUUGAGUAUCAGAGACGAAUGUGAUACUGUAGCCGUACUAUAUGAACUAACAGUUUAAACAACAAUUCUUGCCUUGUGGUCCGCAGAUUCCCCCAAUGGGUCUGAAGUUGGGCCUUAGGGCAUCAAAAAAUCCCUUGAAAUUAAAUGGAAUCAUUGGUCUGAAUGUGUGCGUAUAUACAUUUUUCUGGGACAAGGACUCAUAUCUUUCAUCAGAUUAUCAAAGGGGUCGAGAUCCAACAAAGGUUAAAAAACCACUGGCCUAGAAUGGAGGAAAAUCCAGCCCUGGUUCCAACAGACAGCCACCAGCUCUGUAACCCUGCCCAGAACCCAGGGUGGAGGUUUUCUGUGUUCCCUGCUCUGGUUUUCCACCAC
ensembl:lncRNA